AAAUAAUGCGUCCCCCGACACGAAGUGUGUUCCCUGAAUGUCGAAGCGUGUCCCCUGAAUUACAAAUGUGCGUACCAAAUCUAAUUAGCUGUUAUCGUAAAAAUACUUUUAAGGACGGUAACGAUUCAUUCCAUGAGGUCGCUCUGACCGGUACGUGGUAUUUAAUUUUAAAUUGUUUUGUGUUUAGUAGAAUUGUUUAAAUUUUUAUUCGUGUUAUUAUUUAUUUCGUGUUGAUAAUUUUCGAGUACACACAUAAUUAGUCAUAAACAGCAUA